AAAAUGUUGACACCUCUAGGUUUGCAUCCCUAAUUCCCUUCUCCCUUGGUAACCCUAAUUGCUAUCAAAUGGCCACAUGUUGAGAAGUGAGAACUAGAAACUUACACAUGGAUAGCUACAUGGAACACAUGCAUUGGGCCCAAUAAAAUAUAUAUUUAUUUUUUCCCAAAUUUUUUUCAUUUGUCAAGUGUUUUUCUCUCUCUUCUCUCUUUUCUCUCUCUCUCGUACUCUCUCUUUUCUCACCAUCCUCACUAACACUCUCAUCUCUCUUUAACCUCAACCAUUCCCAAUCUCUUUCUCUCUGCCCUCUCCCAUCUAAUCCUAACCUCCACCACCAUCUACAAAUCAAUCACUCGUGAGAGUGAUUUUUUGCCGAGUGAAAGAAGAUUUGCCGGCGGGAGAGAAGUUCCGGCGAGGAGGAGGAGUUCCGGCCGAGAGAAUUCUUGUGGCGGUGACACGGCGGUGCUUGGCGACGGCGGCGACGAUUUCUCAUUCUUUCCUCUGGCUCCAUGGAAGGAUAAGGCUCCUCCAGAACUCCAUCUUCCUCCAAGCUAGCCAAAUCUGGUGGUGGCAAGCAGAAGAAGGUUCGUUUUUCUCUUCAAAGUGUUUGUUUAAAAAAAAAAAUUGCAGCUUUUGUUUCAUCGUAUGUGUAAUUAAUAGUGAAUUUCAGAGCUUAGAUUCAUUUUUUGCAGACCCAAACAAAUAUCAAACUGUAAGAUCCCACAUAAUUUGAUUUGACUAUUUAUAUGGUUAAAUUUAUCAAGCCACACUUUAAUUAAUAGUAAAUUUCAGAAGCUUAUCAUUGAAGGUUCUCAGGCCACAGCAAAGCAGACAGCAGAGUUGCUUCGGUCUGUGAUUUCACAGCAAAGGGUGCCUCAAACAAACCAGGCUACAGCUCUGAUUAAUGCAGUAAGGGCUGUGGGGGAGAAGCUUAUCACUGCUAACCCUGUUGGUAUGCUGAGAUGAAGUGUUUGCUCUUUUUAAAUUACAAUUAAGCAUUAUGUUUGUUGUCUUUAUGGAAGUCAAGUAUGUAUUUUUGGGAUUAUUGCUGCAUGAUUUCCUAAGUUUGAAUUAAUUAAUAGCUUGUAUGGUUCUUUACUUAUGAUAAAGUUUUUACGGGCUUGUAAGUGUUUAUUGAACAGUUAAAUGAUAGGGGGCCUUUUAUCAGAAAUGUAUAUGUGAAAGGAGGGGUGAGAGUAAGGGGAAACUAAUUGAUUGUAAGCUGUAACUACCAUAUUUUGUAAUAGAAUUUACUAAAUAGACAGAAGGGAGGGGGUUAGAGUUAGUUUUAGAUAAGAUAGUCAGAACAAGUAGAGAUGAUGCACUCUCAAAUGGGCCCUAAAAAAUGUACUCAUUCAUUGCUCAUGAUCACAUUGUUCUGAGGGAUUAACAAUAAGUUCCUGUUUUUUUUUUUCUUCCAAUUAUUUUCCAUAGAUACCAGUUGAUUCUAUCAUUGAAUAAGAGAAUUUUUGAAAAAGUAAGAUGUCAAAUGUAGUUUUAAAUUAUACAAGUAGCUCUGUUUAAAAUACUCAUGGUUAUUACAAGAUUUUUUUAAUACUUUUUGUUCAUAAAUUUUUACGGGAAGUUUAUCCAAACAUAAAUUCUCUUGCUUUGUUUUUGAAUAUUGAGGUUAAUCCACGGCCUGAUGAGAAUAGUGAGGGAGGCAUAAUUGUUGAAAUUAAGGUAAAAGAGUUGGAUCAGAAGACAGCUGAAGUCAAUACUAAAUGGAGUAUUGUUCCUGGACGAGGAGGGUAUCCCACCCUGGCCUCACUUCAACCUGGCAGAACUAUUGUUUUUGAGCAUCGGAAUCUUCAAGGACUGAAUAGAGCUUGAAAAAAGAUGGUGCAGCUGAUUUUAUGAUAAUUGAAUGAGUGAAAGCUUGUAGGUUUCAAGAGAUAAAGGGUGGAGUUUGAUCUAGCUUGAAGGUUUUGAUCAUCUCUUAUAAGAGAUUGAUCAUGCUCAAGGUUCAUGUGUGCACAAUGUUCUUGACAAGAUUCACACUUAUCGGAUGGAAUAUGAUCUUACAAUGUAAGUAUAAUCUCUAUAUACAUCUUUCUCUAUAUAUAAAAGAUUGAUUUCUUUGUAGUUUUGCAUAUCCUCAUCCAUUUUCUGUCAUAUGCUACCACAAUGGUCUCAAGGAAGAUUGACAUGUUUUGUAUGAUUACUAUCUCUAUCAUUUUGUUUUUCAUGUGUUAUUUUUGGACAAUAAUAAAUCUUUGUUAAGAUUUAAGACAAUAAUAAAUCUUAUUUUAUUAUUUUUGGACUUAAUUUGUCAACAAAAUUAAUUCGGAUUGUAUACGAUUUCCAUAUGUUUGAAUGUUUUUCUCCUCUGUCAAUUUUAGUGACAUUUCUUUUGAAGAGCUGUUUUCUACCUUACCCCUUCAAUUGUUUGUAGCUUUUAAAUAUGGUUAGUAUAUCCUGCUUCUGCAUAAUUGCUAAAGUUGCAUCUUUUAUCCAAACUUUGUAUCAUUAUUUUUACUUGCUUUAAAAUGGUAUGAGAUUUCUGUUAGCUUUUCCAACCUAUGUUUCCUUGACCCCUUUGUUUUUCUAAUUAUAUGAUCAACUGGAGUUACUUCUUAUUCAUGAACUUUUUAUCUAUGUGGACAAUUUUAUGCUGGAUAAUUGGAGUGUGGCAUGGACAAGGAAGGUGGAGAUAAAUAAUGCUCGCUAGAUUGAUGAAAUAUUUGAUGCAAUAAGUUAUAGAAAAGGUGCAUCUGUUAUUAGGAUGCUGCAAAGCUAUCUUGGUGCUCAAUGCUUUCAGCUCUUGAAAAGCUAUUGAAAGAACACACUGGGAGGUUUGCCACUGGAGAUGAAGUUUUCAUGGCAGAUAUAUUUUUAGCACCUCAGAUACACUCUGCAUUUAAGAAAUUCAACAUUGACAUGGUAGUAUUCUAUGGUCUCCUGUAUAUUUUAUGUGGGGGAAUAAGGUGUUGUAAUGAAACAUGUGGCUUGUAUUGCUGCGGUGCCAUCACCGCAGCUGCUUUGAUCAUGGAUGUAUUGUUGUGUUUUGUCCACACUUCAAACAAAUAUAGGCUGUUGCCUAAAGGCCUUUGGCCAUUGCCUAUUUGCUUGAGCUAUUAGUUGAUUUAGAUUGAAUAAUUGCGUCAACAUUUCUUCGUGUUAUUCAAAUCAAGCAGCUAAUAAUAUGAAUGUGUAAGAUGAUUAAUCUUAGUCUUUGUUCAUAUAUGUUUGAUUACAAAAUUUUGGGAAACUGCAUGACUUUCUUGCCUGUACCACUUGAUGGCUGUUGGUGAAGUACAUGCAAUCAAGGUCAUUCAACCAGAAAGAGGAUGCAUUAAUAACAGGGUGUUCAAUAUGGAUAUAUGAAUUAGAAGUGUUUAUGAACUUAUGAUUGUACAACGAUUACCGAUAUAUUGCCAUUGUAGAAAAACAUUUAUACUGAUAGUAUAUAUGAAUUAAGUUUGGUUUUUGUGUUGAUUUGAUUACACUACUCACUGUUCAAAGAGAUUAGUAAUCAUGUUAUUGCUUGUGAACAAGCAUGUUAUUGAUUACACUACUCACUCUUACCAUCUCACUCACUAUUUGGAGCAAGUUUGUUCACAACAUAGUACCAUUAUUUGAGAAACUUUGGUUUUCACAUUUGAAUCAUGUUGCUGCAUAUUAUAUCCUCUUCACUAUUUUGAUUAUUUUCAUUUACAUUUGUUGUAUUUUUCAGUGUAUGUGCAGUGAGUGCAAUCAGAUAAAUACCCUAUAUGCCGCCAAGCUAUCGAGGAGCUUAUAGAGAUCAAGAUAAACAAUGGCGACGACCAAUGACAUCUUUUGCCCUGAAGCCAAGCUGAAUUAAGUGGAUAGUUUUGUUUUUUUAUGUUUUAUUCACUUUAUGUAAAUUGCGGCCAAUAAUAUGUUUAUAGCUCAUAUGUAUUGUUAUUAUAAUCAAUAGAAAAAUAGAUUAUAUGUCGUUAUCCUGUUGCUGAAUGUUACUCCUGCUCAUUUAAAUUGUAUAGGUGAUUGUUUUGUUUUGGUCUGUGUGUGAUAUUUAAGAGAGGAUCAUUAUUCAUUUGUAUUGUGUAGAUCUGAUUUGAUCACUGGAUGACUUCUUUGUAAUGUAUCUUGAAGGUGAAGGUUCCUCUACUGUAUUAUGUUUGAAAGUUAUCAUAGGGAUCUUU